rnacentral:lncRNA from 1 species
CCCCUCCUUGAGCUACCACCUUACCGUGGUGGAGGGGUUUGUGUGUCCCAAUGAUCCCAGGAGCUAUGUUGUCAGGGCUUUAUGCCUCUGAAAGGUCAACCAAGGCAAACAGGUCCUGGGGGAGGGACCAGACUAAGAGUAGCUCAUCCAGACAGAGGUGCCAGGCAAAAAAAUAGGGAAAAAAAAACUGAAGAAAACAAACUAAAGAAAACAAAAAAGACAAAACAAUAGUAUUUCUGAGAAUAAACAACUUUAAAAAAACUUAAAAAAAAACUAAAAAAAAGACUUAAAACAAGAAGAAAAAAAACUAAAGAAAACUACAAAAAGAAGAAAAAGAAUGGUAUUUCUAAAAAAACUUGAAAAAACACUAAAAAAAUUUAAAAAGGCAGAAAAAACUAAAUAAUAGUAAAAAAAGGAGAAAGAAUAGUAUAACCAAAAUAAAAAAACAGAAAGAAAAGUAUUACUUUAAAAAACACUAAAUAUAUAUAUAUAAAUAUAUAUAUAUAUAUAUAUAUAUAUAUAUAACAAAAAACUAAAAAAACAAAAAAAAACUUAAAACAGGCAGAAAAAAAUAAAGAAAACUAAAAAAGAGAAAGAAUAGUAUAAACAAAAUAAAAAACAGAAAGAAAAGUUUAUCUAAAAAAAAUACUUUAAAUAUAUAUAACAAAACAAUUAAAAUAAACUUUGAACAGGCAGAAAAACAACUAAAGAAAACUAAAAAAAGAGAUAGAAUAGUAUAAACAAAAUAAAAAAAUCAGAACGAAAAGUACAUCUGAAAAAAACACUUUAAAUAUAAAUAUAUAACAAAAAAAACUUAAAACAGGCAGAAAAAACUAAAGAAAACUAAAAAAAGAGAAAGAAUAGUAUAAACAAAAUAAAAAAUAGAAAGAAAAGUAUUUCUGAAAAAAAAAAUCUAAAUAUAUAAAUAACAAAAAAAAACUUAAAACAGGCAGAAAAAAAUAAAGAAAACUAAAAAAGGAGAAAUAAUAGUAUAAACAAAAUAAAAAAAACAGAAAGAAAAGUUUAUCUAUAAAAAACUUUAAAUAUAUAUAUAUAACAAAAAACUAAAAUAAACGUUAUACAGGCAGAAAAACAACUAAAGAAAACUAAAAAAAGAGAAAGAAUAGUAUGAACAAAAUAAAAAAAUCAAAAAGAAAAGUUUAUCUAAAAAAAACUUUAAAUAUAUAUAUAACAAAAAACUAAAAUAAACUUUAAACAGGCAGAAAAACAACUAAAGAAAACAAAAAGAAGAGAAAGAAUAGUAUAAACAAAAUUAAAAAAUCAAAAAGAAAAGUAUAUCUAAACAACACUUUAAAUAUAUAUAUAACAAAAAACAAAAAAAAACUUAAAACAGGCAGAAAAAAAACUAAAGAAAACUAGAAAAAAGAAGUAAAAGAAUAGUAUUUGUAAAAAAAAAGACUAAAAAAAAGAAACAUAACAGUAUUUCUGAAAAAAAAACUUAAAACAGGCAGAAAAAUAAAAAAUAUAUAUAGGAAACUAAAAACAAAGAAAAGUAUUUUUGAAAAAAAAAAAAAAACCCACACUAAACACUAAACCGGGUGUUUUGCACAGAAAAAAAAAACCCUUGCGGUUUUUCCCUCUCAUGUGAGGGUUUUUUCCCCUCCUUGAGCUACCACCUUAUCAUGGUGGAGGGGUUUGUGUGUCCCAAUGAUCCCAGGAGCUAUGUUGUCAGGGCUUUAUGCCUCUGAAAGGUCACCCAAGGCAAACAGGUCCUGGGGGAGAGACCAGACUAAGAGUAGCUCAUCCAGACAGAGGUGCCAGGCAAGAAAAAUAGGAAAAAAGAAAAACUGAAGAAAACAAACUAAAGAAAACAAAAAGACAAAAGAAUAGUAUUUCUGAAAAUAAACAACUUUAAAAAAUA